GUGGGGAAUCUUGCGCAAUGGGCGAAAGCCUGACGCAGCCAUGCCGCGUGAAUGAUGAAGGUCUUAGGAUUGUAAAAUUCUUUCACCGGGGAAGAUAAUGACGGUACCCGGAGAAGAAGCCCCGGCUAACUUCGUGCCAGCAGCCGCGGUAAUACGAAGGGGGCUAGCGUUGCUCGGAAUUACUGGGCGUAAAGGGCGCGUAGGCGGACAUUUAAGUCAGAGGUGAAAGCCCAGGGCUCAACCUUGGAAUUGCCUUUGAUACUGGCUAUCUUGAGUAUGGAAGAGGUAUGUGGAACUCCGAGUGUAGAGGUGAAAUUCGUAGAUAUUCGGAAGAGCACCAGUGGCGAAGGCGACAUACUGGUCCAUUACUGACGCUGAGGCUCGAAAGCGUGGGGAGCAAACAGGAUUAGAAACCCUGGUAGUCC
rnacentral:rRNA from 1 species